AUUGAACGCUGGCGGCAGGCCUAACACAUGCAAGUCGAACGAGUGGCGGACGGGUGAGUAAUGUCUGGGAAACUGCCCGAUGGCGGGGGAUAACUACUGGAAACGGUAGCUAAUACCGCAUACCAUCGGAUGUGCCCAGAUGGGAUUAGCUAGUGGGUGGGGUAACGGCUCACCUAGGCGACGAUCCCUAGCUGGUCUGAGAGGAUGACCAGCCACACUGGAACUGAGACACGGUCCAGACUCCUACGGGAGGCAGCAGUGGGGAAUAUUGCACAAUGGGCGCAAGCCUGAUGCAGCCAUGCCGCGUGUAUGAAGAAGGCCUUCGGGUUGUAAAGUACUUUCAGCGAGGAGGCGUUACCCACAGAAAAAGCAACGGCUAACUCCGUGCCAGCAGCCGCGGUAAUAC
rnacentral:rRNA from 1 species